AUGGAGCCAGCCGCCGAAGGUGGGACAGAUAAUUGGGGUGAAGUCGUAACAAGGUAGCCGUAUCGGAAGGUGCGGCUGGAUCACCUCCUUUCUAAGGAA
rnacentral:rRNA from 1 species